rnacentral:rRNA from 1 species
CAGCCGCCACGGUAAUACGUAGGUGGCAAGCGUUGUCCGGAAUUAUUGGGCGUAAAGGGCUCGCAGGCGGUUUCUUAAGUCUGAUGUGAAAGCCCCCGGCUCAACCGGGGAGGGUCAUUGGAAACUGGGAAACUUGAGUGCAGAAGAGGAGAGUGGAAUUCCACGUGUAGCGGUGAGAUGCGUAGAGAUGUGGAGGAACACCAGUGGCGAAGGCGACUCUCUGGUCUGUAACUGACGCUGAGGAGCGAAAGCGUGGGGAGCGAACAGGAUUAGAUACCCGCGUAGUCCCUGUCUCUUAUAC